UGGGGAAUAUUGCGCAAUGGCCGAAAGGCUGACGCAGCGACGCCGCGUGGGGGAUGAAGCAUUUCGGUGUGUAAACCCCUGUUGCCCGGGACGAACAAGCAGAUUUUUCUGCUCUGACGGUACCGGGUGAGGAAGCACCGGCUAACUCCGUGCCAGCAGCCGCGGUAAUACGGAGGGUACGAGCGUUGUCCAGAAUCACUGGGCGUAAAGGGCGCGUAGGCGGGCAUGUAAGUCAGUGGUGAAAUACCGGAGCUUAACUUCGGAACUGCCAUUGAUACUAUAUGUCUUGAAUAUUGUGGAGGUAAGCGGAAUAUGUCAUGUAGCGGUGAAAUGCAUAGAUAUGACAUAGAACACCGAUUGCGGAGGCAGCUUGCUACGCAAAUAUUGACGCUGAGGCACGAAAGCGUGGGGAUCAAACA
rnacentral:rRNA from 1 species